rnacentral:rRNA from 1 species
GUAUGAAUGGCUAAACGAGAAAUCUCCUUUUUUUAUUAUAAAGAUAGAAUUUAUUUUUUUAGUGAAAAAACUAAAAUUUUCUAGAAAGACGAGAAGACCCUAUAGAGUUUUAUAUAGAAAUCAGGAUAAAUUUCAGUUGGUUUUUAUAAAUUUUUCUUGAUCCUAUAAUUUGUUGGGGCGACAUUAAGAUAAGUAAAACUCUUUUUAUUAAAAACUUUUAUAAAAGUAUGUUUGAUCCUUUAAAAAAGAUAAUAAGAUAAAAUUACCUUAGGGAUAACAGCGUAAUCUUUUUUGAGAGUUCAUAUCGACAAAAAGGUUUGCGACCUCGAUGUUGGACUAAAAUUUAGGUGAGGUGCAGCAGCUUCAUUUUAGGGUCUGUUCGACCCGUAAAAUUUUACAUGAUCUGAGUUCAGACCGGCGUGAGCCAGGUUGGU